rnacentral:rRNA from 1 species
AGAACGAACGCUGGCGGCAGGCCUCAAACAUGCAAGUCUAGGGGGUGUAGCAAUACAUCACCGGCGGACGGGUGCGUAACACGUGGGAAUGUACCUACUGGUUCGGAACAACGCAGGGAAACUUGCGCUAAUACCGAAUAAGCCCGAAAGGGGAAAGAUUUAUCGCCAGUAGAUCAGCCCGCGUAGGAUUAGCUAGUUGGUGGGGUAAUGGCCCACCAAGGCUCCGAUCCUUAGCUGUUCUGAGAGGAAGAUCAGCCACACUGGGACUGAGACACGGCCCAGACUCCUACGGGAGGCAGCAGUUGGGAAUCUUGGACAAUGGGGGAAACCCUGAUGCAGCGACGUCGCGUGGAGGAUGAAAUCUUUCGGGAUGUAAACUCCUUUUAACGGGGAAGAAAAAAAUGACGGUACCCGUUGAAUAAGCCCGGCUAACUACGUGCCAGCAGCCGC